rnacentral:rRNA from 1 species
CCGUUCCCAUGCCGAACACUGAAGUUAAGCUCUUCAGCGCCGAUGGUAGUUGGGGGAUUCCCCCUGUGAGAGUAGGACGCCGCCAAGC